UCCCUCGUGGUCCAGUGGCUAAGACUCCGCAUUCCCAAUGCAGGGGGUCUGGGUUCAAUCCCUGGUCAGGGAA
rnacentral:tRNA from 1 species